UUUAUCAGGGAGCUGGAAAAAAGUGGGAUGACCAUUAGACUGCAGUGCAAGUCUGACUCCAAAUGAAGGAGAGGAAAGGUUGUAUGGAGGCCUCCUUGGCUCUAGGGAAAGUUCAGCAAGGCAGAAGAGAAGUGCUGAGACAACAUUCUAGGCAGAGGAGCCCCAUGUCUCUCAGGAAGGGGGCUGCCUAGUGCCCCUGCCAUGCCCCAUCACGGGUGGGGAGCAGCCCAUGGAAAGGGGGGGUCUCAGCACAGGCCAGGAUGGAUUCAGAGCAUGGAGUGGCAGCUGGUGCCCUGGGCCAGAUGCGCUCCCAGCUGGAGGCACUUUCUCACAACUGCUGUGUAGGCCUGGGUCCACGUUGUUUCAUGAGGAAAAGCCAUGCGGGUGCUGCCUGGCACAUAUGUAGAGCAAGUGCCAUAUGACACGGUGGAAGGUGCCCUGGAAUUGGCAUCAAUGUCCCAGGUCAAGUCCCUGAUCCGUCACUUAUUAUUAGUUCAUGAUCUUAGGUAUUGGAAAACCCAAGCAUUGACUCUCCAGACCAGCCUCGCACCUAAGAACGCCGUGGGAUGCAGUUUCAGACAGUGAGAAAUCUGCUGGGGAUGCCUGGGAAAGGGACAUACCUGGCAGGUGCCGCUCCAUGGCCUUCUUGCUGCCUUGAAUUGGGACAUGAGCCUGAGUCGCAGCAGCCGUCUUGUGACUGAGAGGUGGCAAGCAGGAGGAAGAGGCUAAGAGAAUAGAGACACUGUUGAGCUGCUGAAGCACAGCAAGCGGCCACUUCUCUAUGCUUCUUGCUAUUUGACUGUUAAGCUAGUGCAAGUUACUUUUCUGGUCAGAAUGAAUUCAUAACUGAAACAUGCUUUAAAGUAUGACUAUUAUUAUUAAAUGCAGCAUAAGCUUUCCAUAGCUGCUACACGAUCACACCCACUGCUGUCUCAGACUGACCAGUGGCCGACUAAACAUGACAGCAAGUACUGUUGCCAGCCUCUGCCUUCUUAUACUUGUGGAGUUUGUUUAAAUCUAAAUUCAGGACUCACCCUGUUAAAUUUUAUCUCCUUAGCUUGUCCCCUUCUUUUCAGAGAUU
rnacentral:lncRNA from 1 species